rnacentral:rRNA from 1 species
GACGAACGCUGGCGGCGUGCUUAACACAUGCAAGUCGAGCGAUGAAGCUUUCUUCGGAAAGUGGAUUAGCGGCGGACGGGUGAGUAACACGUGGGUAACCUGCCUCAUAGAGGGGAAUAGCCUUUCGAAAGGAAGAUUAAUACCGCAUAAGAUUGUAAUAUCGCAUGGUAUAGCAAUUAAAGGAGUAAUCCGCUAUGAGAUGGACCCGCGUCGCAUUAGCUAGUUGGUGAGGUAACGGCUCACCAAGGCGACGAUGCGUAGCCGACCUGAGAGGGUGAUCGGCCACAGUGGGACUGAGACACGGCCCAGACUCCUACGGGAGGCAGCAGUGGGGAAUAUUGCACAAUGGGGGAAACCUUGAUGCAGCAACGCCGCGUGAGUGAUGACGGUCUUCGGAUUGUAAAGCUCUGUCUUUAGGGACGAUAAUGACGGUACCUAAGGAGGAAGCCACGGCUAACUACGUGCCAGCCGCCGCAGUAAGAC